UACGUAGGGUGCGAGCGUUGUCCGGAAUUAUUGGGCGUAAAGAGCUCGUAGGCGGCCUGUCGCGUCGGAUGUGAAAGCCCGGGGCUUAACCCCCGGGUCUGCAUUCGAUACGGGCAGACUAGAGUGAUGUAGGGGAGACUGGAAUUCCUGGUGUAGCGGUGAAAUGCGCAGAUAUCAGGAGGAACACCGAUGGCGAAGGCAGGUCUCUGGGCAUUAACUGACGCUGAGGAGCGAAAGCGUGGGGAGCAAACAGG
rnacentral:rRNA from 1 species